rnacentral:rRNA from 1 species
UGCCAGCAGCCGCGGUAAUACGUAGGGGGCGAGCGUUGUCCGGAUUUAUUGGGCGUAAAGAGCUCGUAGGCGGCUCAACAAGUCGGCCGUGAAAACCUGAGGCUCAACCUCAGGACGCCGGUCGAAACUGUUGUGGCUAGGGUUCGGUAGAGGAGAGUGGAAUUCCCGGUGUAGCGGUGAAAUGCGCAGAUAUCGGGAGGAACACCAGUAGCGAAGGCGGCUCUCUGGGCCGACACCGACGCUGAGGCGCGAAGGCGUGGGUAGCGAACGGGAUUAGAUA